rnacentral:rRNA from 1 species
UACGGAGGGUGCAAGCGUUGUCCGGAAUCACUGGGCGUAAAGCGUGCGCAGGCGGUUCUAUAAGACAGAUGUGAAAUCCCCGGGCUCAACCUGGGAAUGGCAGUGGAAACUGGCGGGCUUGAGUGUGGCAGAGGGGGGUGGAAUUCCUGGUGUAGCAGUGAAAUGCGUAGAUAUCAGGAGGAACACCGAUGGCGAAGGCAGGUCUCUGGGCUGACACUGACGCUCAUGCACGAAAGCGUGGGGAGCAACAGG